rnacentral:rRNA from 1 species
AGGGUUCGAUCCUGGCUCAGGACGAACGCUGGCGGCGUGCCUAACACAUGCAAGUCGAACGGAGAGAAUCGGUGAAACAGAGAGAAGCUUGCUUCAGGAAGUUUCUUGAUUAUCUUAGUGGCGGACGGGUGAGUAACGCGUGGGCAAUCUGCCUUUUACAGGGGGAUAACACAGGGAAACCUGUGCUAAUACCGCAUAAGACCACGGUAUGGCAUCAUACAGAGGUCAAAGGAGAAAUCCGGUAAAAGAUGAGCCCGCGUCUGAUUAGCUAGUUGGUAAGGUAACGGCUUACCAAGGCGACGAUCAGUAGCCGAACUGAGAGGUUGAACGGCCACAUUGGGACUGAGACACGGCCCAG